GUCGGGUUGGGGAUGAAGUGGUUGACCGUUCCGCCCAUCACGGCCAAGGUCCGCUUACCAUCCUGGACCAUCUGCACACCGCGGCUUCUGAACUCUUU
rnacentral:sRNA from 1 species